rnacentral:rRNA from 1 species
AAAUUGAAGAGUUUGAUCAUGGCUCAGAUUGAACGCUGGCGGCAGGCCUAACACAUGCAAGUCGAACGGUAACAGGAAGCAGCUUGCUGUUUCGCUGACGAGUGGCGGACGGGUGAGUAAUGUCUGGGAAACUGCCUGAUGGAGGGGGAUAACUACUGGAAACGGUAGCUAAUACCGCAUAACGUCGCAAGACCAAAGAGGGGGACCUUCGGGCCUCUUGCCAUCGGAUGUGCCCAGAUGG